UUUAUCGGAGAGUUUGAUCCUGGCUCAGGACGAACGCUGGCGGCGUGCCUAAUACAUGCAAGUCGAGCGGACAGACGGGAGCUUGCUCCCUGAUGUUAGCGGCGGACGGGUGAGUAACACGUGGGUAACCUGCCUGUAAGACUGGGAUAACUCCGGGAAACCGGGGCUAAUACCGGAUGGUUGUUUGAACCGCAUGGUUCAAACAUAAAAGGUGGCUUCGGCUACCACUUACAGAUGGACCCGCGGCGCAUUAGCUAGUUGGUGAGGUAAUGGCUCACCAAGGCAACGAUGCGUAGCCGACCUGAGAGGGUGAUCGGCCACACUGGGACUGAGACACGGCCCAGACUCCUACGGGAGGCAGCAGUAGGGAAUCUUCCGCAAUGGACGAAAGUCUGACGGAGCAACGCCGCGUGAGUGAUGAAGGUUUUCGGAUCGUAAAGCUCUGUUGUUAGGGAAGAACAAGUACCGUUCGAAUAGGGCGGUACCUUGACGGUACCUAACCAGAAAGCCACGGCUAAC
rnacentral:rRNA from 1 species